rnacentral:lncRNA from 1 species
CACAAAUUAACAAUUUUUUAGGUUACACAUUAUUUCUUGAUCAUAGCUUAUUUCUUUUGUUGGUCACAAAUUAACCAGUUUAAUGGUCACAAUCAACCAAAUAAUUUAUUACUAUCUUCAACGCUUGUAAUCAUCACUUCACCGCUGCCUCCAACAACAUCAUCGCCUCCGUUGUAGCUAGAACCAUCAUCACCUACAACAAAUCUAAUACAUUGCCCAAAAAAAAAAAAAAAAAAAAAAAACCAACAAAGCAUUGCGCUAGAUCCACCGCCACCUCACCACCACAUCCACCGAUGAAUCACCAUUUUCAACCACAAAACCAUCAUGUGUCAACACAUCCAUGCCAGAUUCACCACCAGCUCUACCUCCAUCUCCACUGACAAAAGCCACCUACCACCAAAUCCACCAUCAAUCUAACGCCAUCACACCUAACUAAUUGGUUACAAAAUACCUUCAGAACCAUUGCCUGGCCACCACAGCACCUGCAAACUCACCACACCACCAUCGAGCACAUAGCCAUCGCCACCGCUACAGCCAUCUCUUUUAUCCCAAUCUACACAACACAACACCACAACCACCACCCCUGCCAAAAAAUUCACAAACUCGCCGCCGCCGCCACACACUAAUAUCUCCUGCACUACCACCGCAAAAACCAACGUAAUAAGAUAAAAGUAGUGACCCGAAAAACCUCCAUCGUCGAUUGCCACACCACAAAAGCAGCAAGUGGUGUUGUAAUCUCAAUGCAUAAGCCAAGCAAAUGGCGUCCAGAGCGUGAGGGCAGCAUCAGCAACGUCGUGUGAGCGCAGUGCCAAUGGCAUCGUGUGAGCAUGGGGCCGGCAACAUGGGGAUAAAGAGAAAGAAAGGGGAGAAGCGAGAUAUAGAGAGAGAGAGAGAGAGAGAAAUGAGGGGUAAAUUGAUUAGGAUUUGGAAUGAAAACUGUAUAUUUAAUAUUUAAAUAUGAAAUAUCUGUUUUUUGAAAUGUGAAACUUUUUAUCUGAUUUUGGAACACAUCUUUAAAAAGAGGGCGAGGUGAACAAACAAUGAUAAG